CCUACGGGAGGCAGCAGUGGGGGAUAUUGCACAAUGGGGCGAACCCUGAUGCAGCGACGCCGCGUGAGCGAAGAAGUCCCUCUGUAUGUAAAGCUCUAUCAGCAGGGAAGAAAAUUACGGUACCUGACUAAGAAUCCCCGGCUAAAUACGUGCCAGCCGCCGCGGUAAUACGUAUGGGGCAAGCGUUAUCCGGAUUUACUGGGUGUAACGGGAGCGCAGGCGGCCUGCCAAGUCUGGUGUGAAAACCCGGGGCCCAACCCCGGGCCUGCAUUGGAAACUGGCGGGCUGGAGUGUAGGAGGGGCAGGCGGAAUUCCUAGUGUAGCGGUGAAAUGCGUAGAUAUUAGGAGGAACACCGGUGGCGAAGGCGGCCUGCUGGACGAUGACUGACGCUGAGGCUCGAAAGCGUGGGGAGCAAACAGGAUUAGAUACCCUUGUAGUC
rnacentral:rRNA from 1 species